rnacentral:lncRNA from 1 species
CAACAGAGACACAGCACAAUGGAUUUUCAUGUGAAAGAUGAACAGGAAACGUCAUAAAUAAAAGUGUCAUGUUGACACAAGAAGACUAGAGAGAUGCACCACAUGCAUAAUUCUGAAAGGAUAUUGGGGUUUGAUGGGACCAUGGGAAGCCCCAGCACCAAGUUGUUUGAAAUGAACAGUUGAGAGAUGCCUUUUAUUCUUUUCCUUGCCUAAUUGCUCUGGGUAGAACUUCCAGAACUACUUUGAAUAGAAGUUGAAAGUGAAGAUUCCUGUUUGUUCAUGAUUUCAGAGGAAAAGGUUUUAACUUUUCACUAGUAAGUAUGAUGUUAUCGGUAGGUUUGUCACAUAUGGUCUCUAUUGUGUUGAACAAGUCAUCCUUCCAUAUGAAUGGGAUCAAAAUUUGUGGAUUUAACCAAACACAGAUUGAAAUAUGUUUUUUAAAAGAUGGUUGUAUUUAUAAUGAACAUAUACAUAUUUUUUCUUGUUAUUGUUCCCUAAACUCUACAGUAUAGAGUUUAGGGAAUAAACUAUUUUUCAGUAUAGAGUUUAGGGAAUAAAACUAUUUACAUAGCAUUUAAAUUGUAUUAGAUAUUAUAGGUAAUCUAGAAAUAAUUUAAAGAAUAAAAGAGAAUGUGCAUAGGUAAAUGCAAAUACAGCACCAUUUUAUAUAAGGGACUUGAGCAUCCAUGGAUUUUGGUAACCUCAGGGUCUCUGGAACCAAUCCUCCAUGGAUACCAAGGGACAACUCUAUAUUCCUUCUAUACUUAUUUUGUUGAGAGGUUCUAGUAAAA